AAACUUUUAACAACGGAUCUCUUGGCUCUGGCAUCGAUGAAGAACGCAGCGAAAUGCGAUAAGUAAUGUGAAUUGCAGAAUUCAGUGAAUCAUCGAAUCUUUGAACGCACAUUGCGCCCGUCAGCAUUCUGGCGGGCAUGCCUGUCCGAGCGUCAUUU
rnacentral:rRNA from 1 species